GUCUACGGCCAUGCCACCCUGAACAAGUCCAAUCCCAUCUGAUCUCGGAAGCUAAGCAGGGUCUGGCCUGAUUAGUACUUGGAUGGGAGACCACCUAGGAAGACCAGAUGCUAUAGGCA
rnacentral:rRNA from 1 species